GACGAACCGAGCGAACGUUGUUCGGAAUCACUGGGCUUAAAGGGCGCGUAGGCGGGCUGCAAAGUCUGGGGUGAAAUCCGUCGGCUUAACCGGCGAAGUGCCUCGGAUACUGGCGGUCUCGAGGGAGGUAGGGGCGUGCGGAACUGUGGGUGGAGCGGUGAAAUGCGUUGAUAUCCACAGGAACUCCGGUGGCGAAGGCGGCACGCUGGACCUUUUCUGACGCUGAGGCGCGAAAGCCAGGGGAGCGAACGGG
rnacentral:rRNA from 1 species